ACUGAUGUAGGACUCUGCAUAGGGCCCAUCCGAGAGGAGAUCAAGGUCUCUCCACCAACACCCGUGAACCCUGUCCAAAGCUUUUCUACACACUUGAAAAGUAAUCACAGUAAAACGUUAGCAACAAUAUGAUUUCCAUCCUGGAUUACUGAUAUUGCAGAAAGAAGAUAGUUAUACAAGGGUGGCACUGAACACACAAGAAACAAAUGAUUCACGAUAGCAUUAGAGGCACCAGCAAAGGACACACUUUUAGAGAAAGGAAUCUGCUCCCCUGUGGCUCUCCAAAUCACACUUCUUAGGCACCACAUCUACAGGGAAGACCCAGGUAGAGACUGUGAGGAUCUCAACGGCCUGGCGGGCCACAAGAUCACUUCUGCUUCAGGCUGGAAUGCUCCUUCUCCACAGAGUCCAGAAACUGACAUAUGCAGACACCCACCCAGAAGGACAUGUCCAAGAAGGAAUGGAAAGAAAAAUGAUGGCCCAGAUGUUCUGUAGCUUGCAGUGACUGCCAAUUCACCACAGACCCCAGUACCUGGGAGGGCAAGGCAGCAUCAGGCUCUUGCUUCCUGGUUUCAGGCAGCCAGGGCCCUGAUGGUGGGUGGCAACUCUGACAGCAUGCAGACUGGCCAGGGGAGAAACCUUUAGAAGGGCACUGGCUGACGGGACUUGGGGGUUGAACACACAGCGCUGAUUUAUCACUUCCUUACUCAUAAAAAUGUGAUUCGAACUGCUGCUGAUUAGUGAAGGAUUUCAAUCUUUACCCUCUCCCCAACCCCCCUCCUUCUCCACCCCCGGCACAGAUGCUGCUACUCAGCCACAACACCCCCUUAUUGCCACUGUCCAGGCAAGCACAGCACAGCACAGGGGACCAAAGAUGAUGACUCAUGUGCUGGGAAAUGGAAAAGUGCAUCUUCCCACCAGCCAGCCCUGCUGAGCACUCUGCUCGCCCCUGUCCCAAUGGCAGCCCACACAGCGGGGUCUGGAUGGCCACCUCAGCCGCACACUGGGUACUUGGCAGCACGUCCACAGAGCUCUCUGUCCUCACUGAGUGUUACAUCCUGUGGCCUGGGCUGUUUUUCCUUGAAACACCCUUGGAGCCUCUGAGCACCUCAACUCAUACUCUUCUUGGCCCCAGUGACCUCAUCGAGGUGACAAUGAGCUACAAGAAAAAGACUCACUGGUGGCCUAUUAAAAGGCCAAGGUAUUCCUUUCCAUGGAAUAGAAGCUGCUGAAAACAGAUGCUUCAUGGGCAAGGGCUGCAGGUCCUUUACAUUCACACCUAAAGAAGCCACAGGUCACUUGGUGCUGGAACAAUGUCUUGGCUGAGGCUGCAGCUCUGUGACAGCUGCGAGUUGUGUACUGCAAACAUAUUGAUGGUCAUAAGCUGCAGCAUGCGGGUACUUCCAAUGGGAGAGGGGCUGUGCUGCAGUAACACCUGGAACUCCUUGAGGACCUUCUCAGCCACUGCAGGGAAUGUCUCCAUCCUGCAGAUUCAGAAAACCCAUCAAUGAGGCACCUCUCUCUUUCAGUCUCUCUCUCACUCUGUCACACACACACACACACACACACACACACACACACACACCCACCAGACAACUACUGCCUAGGACAUUUCUUUGCUACUUUCACAAACCUUCCCGGUAUCCUGCAAUUUUGAACAAAUUCAAGAUAAAGGAAUUUUCAGGGUCCAGAGAUGGAAACAACUCAAGUUUUGGAUAAAUCACUAUGAGUUAUUA